AUUGAACGCUGGCGGCAGGCUUAACACAUGCAAGUCGAGAGAGCGGCGGACGGGUGAGUAAUGUAUGGGAAACUGCCUGAAGGAGGGGGCUAACUACUGGAAAGGGUACUUAAUACCCCAUAGCUUCAGAUGUUACCAGAUGGGAUUGGCUAGUAGGUGGGGUAAUGGCUAACCUCGGCGACGAUACCUAGCUGGUCUGAGAGGAUGACCAGCAACAUGGGAACGAGUACACGGUCAAGACUCCUACGGGUGGAAGCGUGGGGGAAUAUUGGACAAUGGGCGCAAGCCUGAUGCAGCCCUGCCGCGUGUUUGAAGAAGGUCUUCGGGUUGUAAAGCACUUUCAGCGAGGAGGCGUUACUCGCAGAAGAAGCACCGGCUAACUCCGUGCCAGCAGCCGCGGUAAUAC
rnacentral:rRNA from 1 species